rnacentral:rRNA from 1 species
GGGUGAGUAACGCGUAUCCAACCUGCCCACCACUUGGGGAUAACCUUGCGAAAGUAAGACUAAUACCCAAUGAUAUCUCUAGAAGGCAUCUGAAAGAGAUUAAAGAUUUAUCGGUGAUGGAUGGGGAUGCGUCUGAUUAGCUUGUUGGCGGGGUAACGGCCCACCAAGGCAACGAUCAGUAGGGGUUCUGAGAGGAAGGUCCCCCACAUUGGAACUGAGACACGGUCCAAACUCCUACGGGAGGCAGCAGUGAGGAAUAUUGGUCAAUGGACGAGAGUCUGAACCAGCCAAGUAGCGUGCAGGAUGACGGCCCUAUGGGUUGUAAACUGCUUUUAUAAGGGAAUAAAGUGAGUCUCGUGAGACUUUUUGCAUGUACCUUAUGAAUAAGGACCGGCUAAUUCCGUGCCAGCAGCCGCGGUAAUACGGAAGGUCCGGGCGUUAUCCGGAUUUAUUGGGUUUAAAGGGAGCGUAGGCCGGAGAUUAAGCGUGUUGUGAAAUGUAGAUGCUCAACGUCUGAACUGCAGCGCGAACUGGUUUCCUUGAGUACGCACAAAGUGGGCGGAACUCGUGGUGUAGCGGUGAAAUGCUUAGAUAUCACGAAGAACUCCGAUUGCGAAGGCAGCUCACUGGAGCGCAACUGACGCUGAAGCUCGAAAGUGCGGGUAUCGAACAGGAUUAGAUACCCUGGUAGUCCGCACGGUAAACGAUGGAUGCCCGCUGUUGGUCUGAAUAGGUCAGCGGCCAAG